UGUUCAUGCGCUGCCAGCUGAACCGUCUGCAGAAGGGCCAGAUGAUUGACGAGUGGUUCCCUCUCAGCCCCCACGCCCCCUGAAGGGCAUCGGAGACGGGCUCCCCUGCGCGUCCGCGCCCGCUACUCAAUGGAGAAGAUCAUGCCCGAGGAGGAGUACAGCGAAUUCAAGGAGGUCUGACUCGCCCGAAAGUUGCUUUUGAUUGCAUUGGUUUCUUAAUCGCUCCGCUCUCUCCUCUCUCUCUCUCGUUGACAUCCCGACCGAUGUGUGUGUGUGUGUGCGCCGCAGAUGAUCCUGCAGAAGGAGUUCACGUCAUCUACGCUCUGGCCACGUGUGCGGCCAGGAACGCACCUUACUGGCGAGCCUCCUGCUGCGGAUCUUUCAGACACGCGAAGGCCGAAGCCCCCGUGCUCCGAAACAUCAACGACGAGAGAUUAACGUGGAAGGUGAGAAUCUCACACAGCAGGACGGGAAACUUCAAAUUCGGCGAGAAAGAUCCUGUAGACGUGGACACACAUCUGGAUUAACCUCUUUGUUUGGCAGACGAAGCCACCCACGCUGUUCCGAGCCACCACGCUGGCCAGCACCCUGAUGAGCAGUACAUGAAGGCCACCGCCACGCCCUUCGUCCACCACGCCUCAAAGACACCAUCCUCAAAAUCAUGGAGAGCAAACAGUCCCCUGCGAGUUGAACCCUUCCAAGCUGGAGAAGAACGAGGACGUGAACUUGAACCUGGCCAAUCUCCUCAACAUCCUGUCCGAGCUGGUGGAGAAGAUCUUCAUGGCUGCGGAGAUCUUACCGCCGACGCUGAGGUUCAUCUACGGAUGCCUGCAGAAGUCUGUGCAGCAGAAGUGGCCGACCAACACCACCAUGAGGACAAGAGUCGUCAGGUACGGAAACCUCCUGUCUAGUCAUUAUUUAUAGAAGAAACUGUUUUUCUACUGUAUGAUUAAAAACUAAAGAACUGAGGAUCUCUGGGUUGAUUUAUUAGUAUUUUUAUUAAUUUCACUUUAAAAUCCUUUUAAUUCUCUGUUUAACAAUCAAAUCAGUGAUUCUUUAUUUUCUCUGUUCUGUUGAGUUUGUUUUUUCUUUUCUUUCAGUCGAUGGGUUUUGUAUUCAUCUUUGUUUGUAUUCCAC
rnacentral:lncRNA from 1 species